GGGUCAGUAGGUUGGUCGUGCCACCGGUACGUACUGGUCUCACCGAUUCCUCCUUCCUGAAGAACCGUAAUGCCAUUAAUUUGGCGUUGCGGGGAAACAGGACUGUUACUUUGAAAAAAUUAGAGUGUUUAAAGCAAGCUAACGCUUGAAUACAUUAGCAUGGAAUAAUGAAAUAGGACGAUCGAUCCUAUUUUGUUGGUUUCUAGGAUUGACGUA
rnacentral:rRNA from 1 species